UACGAAGGGGGCUAGCGUUGCUCGGAAUCACUGGGCGUAAAGGGUGCGUAGGCGGGUCUUUAAGUCAGGGGUGAAAUCCUGGAGCUCAACUCCAGAACUGCCUUUGAUACUGAAGAUCUUGAGUUCGGGAGAGGUGAGUGGAACUGCGAGUGUAGAGGUGAAAUUCGUAGAUAUUAGGAGGAACACCGGUGGCGAAAGCGACUGUCUGGGCCAUUACUGACGCUGAGGCGCGAAAGCGUGGGGAGCAAACAGG
rnacentral:rRNA from 1 species